rfam:Citrus sinensis cultivar Ridge Pineapple sweet orange scaffold00697_contig_7, whole genome shotgun sequence.
AUACCAUGAUAAGGACACCUUCUAAGUAAUUCUUUGAAUCUUUCCCAAGCCUCAUACAAACUUUCAUCUUCAAGUUAAUGAAAAGAAUUAAUCUCAUUUCGUAAUUUU